rnacentral:rRNA from 1 species
GACGAACGCUGGCGGCGUGCUUAACACAUGCAAGUCGAACGGAAAGGCCCUGCUUUUGUGGGGUGCUCGAGUGGCGAACGGGUGAGUAACACGUGAGUAACCUGCCCUUGACUUUGGGAUAACUUCAGGAAACUGGGGCUAAUACCGGAUAGGAGCUCCUGCUGCAUGGUGGGGGUUGGAAAGUUUCGGCGGUUGGGGAUGGACUCGCGGCUUAUCAGCUUGUUGGUGGGGUAGUGGCUUACCAAGGCUUUGACGGGUAGCCGGCCUGAGAGGGUGACCGGCCACAAUGGGACUGAGGUACGGCCCAGACUCCUACGGGAGGCAGCAGUGGGGAAUAUUGCACAAUGGGCGGAAGCCUGAUGCAGCAACGCCGGGUGCGGGAUGACGGCCCUCGGGUUGUAAACCGCUUUCGCCUGUGACGAAGCGUGAGUGACGGUAAUGGGUAAAGAAGCACCGGCUAACUACGUG